CCUACGGGAGGCAGCAGUGAGGAAUUUUGGACAAUGGGGGAAACCCUGAUCCAGCGACGCCGCGUGUGGGAUGAAUGGGUUAUGCCCUGUAAACCACUGUCAGCAGAGAAGAAAAGGUUCCUUUGGAACCCGGGACUGUAUCUGCAGAGGAAGGACCGGCUAACUACGUGCCAGCAGCCGCGGUAAUACGUAGGGUCCAAGCGUUGUCCGGAAUUACUGGGUAUAAAGGGUGCGCAGGCGGUCUUGUGCGUCGAAGGUUAAAUACCAUGGCUCAACUAUGGAAAUGCCCUCGAUACGGCAAGACUUGAGUAUGAGAGAGGAAGAUGGAAUUCCUGGUGUAGCAGUGAAAUGCGUAGAUAUCAGGAGGAACACCGGUGGCGAAGGCGGUCUUCUGGCUCAUUACUGACGCUCAGGCACGAAAGCGUGGGGAGCGAACAGGAUUAGAUACCCUGGUAGUCCACGCUGUAAACGAUGUAUGCUUGAUGUUAGAUCAAAUUGUUGAUCUAGUGCCGGAGAUAAUUCGUUAAGCAUACCACCUGGGAAGUACGAUCGCAAGGUUGAAA
rnacentral:rRNA from 1 species